rnacentral:rRNA from 1 species
AACGAACGCUGGCGGCAUGCCUAACACAUGCAAGUCGAACGAGACCUUCGGGUCUAGUGGCGCACGGGUGCGUAACGCGUGGGAAUCUGCCCUGGGGUACGGAAUAACUCAGAGAAAUUUGAGCUAAUACCGUAUGAUGACGUAAGUCCAAAGAUUUAUCGCCCUGGGAUGAGCCCGCGUAGGAUUAGCUUGUUGGUGAGGUAAAGGCUCACCAAGGCGACGAUCCUUAGCUGGUCUGAGAGGAUGAUCAGCCACACUGGGACUGAGACACGGCCCAGACUCCUACGGGAGGCAGCAGUGGGGAAUAUUGGACAAUGGGCGAAAGCCUGAUCCAGCAAUGCCGCGUGAGUGAUGAAGGCCCUAGGGUUGUAAAGCUCUUUUACCCGGGAAGAUAAUGACUGUACCGGGAGAAUAAGCCCCGGCUAACUCCGUGCCAGCAGCCGCCGCCG